rnacentral:rRNA from 1 species
GAUGAACGCUGGCGGCGUGCCUAACACAUGCAAGUCGAGCGAUUCUCUUCGGUGAAGAGCGGCGGACGGGUGAGUAACGCGUGGGUAACCUGCCCUGUACACACGGAUAACAUACCGAAAGGUAUGCUAAUACGAGAUGAUAUGCUUUUAUCGCAUGGUAGAAGUAUCAAAGCUCCGGCGGUACAGGAUGGACCCGCGUCUGAUUAGCUAGUUGGUAAGGUAACGGCUUACCAAGGCGACGAUCAGUAGCCGACCUGAGAGGGUGAUCGGCCACAUUGGAACUGAGACACGGUCCAAACUCCUGCGGGAGGCAGCAGUGGGGAAUAUUGCACAAUGGGCGAAAGCCUGAUGCAGCAACGCCGCGUGAGCGAUGAAGGCCUUCGGGUCGUAAAGCUCUGUCCUCAAGGAAGAUAAUGACGGUACUUGAGGAGGAAGCCCCGGCUAACUACGUGCCAGCCGCCGCCGUAA